CGAGAGAGAGCAUGGGAUUGAGAGCAGUUUACCAGCUGAGUCAGCACCUCUGCCGCCGUCGCCACGCCACCGCCCGCUUAUGGCCAACGAGCGGAGCGACUAUCGACGACGACGAGCCAAGCAAGCUCAAGCAAGAAGAACCGGCCCGGGGGAGAUACAACUCGAGCCGCAUGCCGCCUUCGUCAGUUCUGCUUUCCGUUCGAGACUGUAAUGAGCGCAUGCUGAAGUCGCUCCCCGUAGUUGGGUCGCUGGUGUUCUGAAAGUUCGCGAUACAUCGCGCCGUCCGUCGUUCUACUCUGUACCGGGGGUUACACGUCGUCAACUGUUCCAGCCAUCACAUCCCCGCAGUAGAAGAUUCGUGACUGGAAUUGUUUCGCGUUCUGCCGCGGUUACCUUUGUUCGUGGCGUGGCCGUGUGUGUGAGUGUAAACAGUGGCCGUCUAUAGUUGAUUCUGUUAUGGUCUCGUGUUCUGGAAUUUGAAGCCACUUGUUCUACGGUGCUGCGGAAAGUUUACUACUUUCGAAUACCUACCAACAAACCCCAACCGUUCAAGUUAUAUCAUCUGCCUAAAGGUGGAAGCGAACGGCAAGUUGUUGCAUUCUGUGUGUACGGACGGAAGGUCCGUUAGUUGUCCACCAGUCAGUGUGUUGUGCAUCGUCAUUUCCUGCGUUCUACACAAGCGAUAGCUCCGUCAGAAUAGAGAAGAAUCAACGCAAAGCGCUUGUCGCGAGCGAUCAACAGAAGAUCUAUCUCGUGCUAAUUGAAUCUCAAACCUUUCGCAGUCGAGGUUUUCUGUGCAUCGCGCGCGCAUAAUCUCCGCACCGUGUAAAUCGAUGAAAACGCGUUCUCCUCGCUCCGGACCCAGCGCGAAUGGAUUGAUGACAUUGAAACGGGAACGUGAGUGCAGAUGAUUUUGGAAGGGGGCAACCAUUCUGUAGGUAGUGGAAAAGUGUCUACGUGUGUGUUGGUUUAGGAGAGCACAGAGUAGUUGCAUUUAUCGGUGACGACGUUCGAUCUCGUUUCGCCGGAUUGUCACUGCGCCGCCGGCCAGCAAGCGAGUAACUUGAAGCAUUCAAAUCCAUAUCGAAAGUGCGGACAGGCAUUUUGCCAAUUAAUGUGGCAACUCUUAGCAGGCUUAUUGCACAAGUAAUCGUAUGCGUGACACAACCGCCACCGCCAUAUAGGAGCUCGACGCGCGGAUAAAACCAUUCAGGCGAUUCAGACUAUAAACGGCCUCCGAAGGAGAUUGUUCGAUUGGAUAUAAAUUUUUAUCAGAAGCAGAUGCAAUUUUUUGGUGCGGACCCGUUUUGGACGAAAGUGUAAGCUAUCGCCCGAUUAACGCGACGACAGUUGAUUGAAGGGGAACUCCGACCGAACUCGUCAUUGGAAGUGCUAGACAAAGAGUUUAACUACCUAAUUCGGUGCGAUUUUCAUUCCGCGGAAAACUUCUCGUGGCAGCUGUUGGAAGUUUUGAAGAAAGCGUGACUACCGAAUUGUUGAAAUUGAAUUGUGGGCUCGUUCUCAGCUGAAAGUUGCGCGGUUGGUUUACGUGUUGUAUUGGUUGUUCUAAAAGUGGCCGGUUUUUUUUUAAAUUCGCUGCAACAGCAACAGCAGUCAGUGCUCGUUUCGUGUGCUAAGUGAAACGAGAAAACGUGAUUGUGUGUGAAGGAGUAUCAUAAAAGUUAAUUGUGAUCGAAAUUACGCUAACACACUUUGUUGCUUGGCGGCUGCGGGAAAUUGGUACAUAUCUCUCCGUCGAAGGCUGAAUUUCCGUCGAGCGUUCUCUUUGGAUGCUAGCGAGUCAGUGUGGGGUGGUAGUUAGAAGAAAAAAGCUCACCGCGGGUACGUGUGUGACGGAAAGCCGCCGAAGUGGGUGCAAAGCCGAGUGUGAACGUUGUUGGUUGGCUGGAAAAUAUCGCACCAGAGGAAAGGCACGGCAAUAGUAAGCGGAAAAGCAUUUACCGGUGCACCGAGAGUAGAAAUCUGGGCCCCUUACCUGUUUUGCUCAUUUCUGAAAGAAUGUCAGUGGAAUGAAGUAGUGUGAAUGUUUGCUUGAUUUUCACGCAACGGUGAGCUGAAGAGAGAAGACGUGGGGCUUGAAGAAAAAUCAACAACAAAAGAAGCAUAUUUUUGCAUGGAUUUUUCGCAGUCCAACGAGUGCAGUAUAAGUGCUGCUGGCCUCAGUGGAGCUUAAACCAUCGACCACAGAGCUGGAUGAGAUAAUCACGACGGAUACACUCUUACCAUAUACAUCGCCCAGGGAGAGAAGAAAAAAAUCGAAAAUAAAACAAAUAUUCCAGUAACAUACGUACACACCCCACUUGCGACCGGGAGAAAAAUAAAAGCAGUUUAGCAGAACGAAGAAAAAAUUGUACGCACUUUACCUAGCCUAUUUAUACACAGAGCACACGUAUCGCCCCGAAGCGAACCAUUUUGCCGGGCUGAUAGAGCGAUAAAUAUUGGAUUAGUUCGGGAAUUACAACACGCUGAGAGCAUCGAACCAUGAUAGUGAUAGGAAACAAAGACUUAUAGUGAGAUAACGAUACAUUGGAUUCAUCAUACAGGAGAGACGAACGAUGGACUUUUUUAAUGCACGCUGUGUACUUAAUUACUGCUAGUCAAUACGAUUAAAUAAGGUAUGCCCGGUGAAUGGGAUUAAUAUAAAUAGUAAGUGAAUAAGAAUAUCAUCAUAUAGUUUGUUGCAAAUAUAUUUAGCUGAAUCAAUUCAAAUCAAGGCUAAGACUGGUCAAAGUCUUGAAAGACUGCCAAAGAUUUUAAAAUUUA